GGGCGGUUAGCUCAGCUGGGAGAGCACCUGCCUUACAAGCAGGGGGGCGGCAGUUCAAGUCUGUCACCGCCCACCA
rnacentral:tRNA from 1 species